UACGAAGGGGGCUAGCGUUGUUCGGAAUUACUGGGCGUAAAGCGCAUGUAGGCGGCGAUUCAAGUCGGGGGUGAAAUCCCAGGGCUCAACCCUGGAACUGCCUUCGAUACUGUAUUGCUAGAGUGUGGAAGAGGUAAGUGGAACUGCAAGUGUAGAGGUGAAAUUCGUAGAUAUUUGCAAGAACACCAGUGGCGAAGGCGGCUUACUGGUCCAUUACUGACGCUGAGAUGCGAAAGCGUGGGGAGCAAACAGG
rnacentral:rRNA from 1 species